AAAAACUCUAGAUCUCAAAACUUAACCUCCAAGAAAUCCAAUUUCCUCCAUUAUUUUUCCAAUAUAUCUUAAAAUUAAGGAUUUCCAAAUUAAGAACUUCAAGAGGGCAUCUUCAAAAGAUGAUAUAGGAAUUCAAGAUCAAGCCUUUUAUUCAAUUUCAUCAAUUUAAGGUAUGUGAGGUUUAUGAACAAGGAUAUUCCUUCAUCCUAGUGCCCAAAAAAUGUUUUUAAUUACUAAUUUACAUAAUAUUGUAUGAAUAUACAUGAGUUUCAAAUUAGGGUUCAUAUCCAUUAUUGUUAUUUGCAAAAUUACGAGAUUUCAAGUGAUUUAGAAGUUGAAUAGCAUGUCUAUUUUUUUUUAUUUUCAUAUGUAUUGUAGUAAAUUCCAGAUUUUGAGAUGAAUUAUCAAUACUAUCAUAUCAGGCAUCAUUUUUAUUAUAUUUUGACAUAAAUUUGAUGCAUGGGUAUUAAACCCUAAUUGAAUAUUGCUACUAUAAGAUUGAUUAUGCUAUGAACACCCUAUGACUAGAUUAUUUUCAGAUUUUUGAUAAAGAUUUGAUCUUUGAUCUUAGCUUAGAAAUUGAAUCCAUUUUUCAGUUUCAUACUACAGUUUACUUAACAAAUAUUCAGUUGGUUUUCGUAAUGAACCAUUAUACUAGAUUUUAAAGUGGAUUUCAAACAGAAUGAGCAUACAAAUUAAAGCGAGUAGUAUUUAGCAUCGAGUUGGGUAUGUUCUCAUGCCCCAGAACUACGAUAUAAUAUAGGUUCAGAUUUUCAGAUUAUUUUUAUUUCUAUAUGGAUGAUAGAUACAGAUGUGAUCACUUAGAUUAAGUUAUACUCCUUACCAAGAGUAUAAUACCUCUCCUUAACGUGAGGUUUUCCCACAAGAUAGAUCAUAUGGUUUAUGUCGAUAAGAAGAACCUCCUGGUAGAAAAGAGUAAUCUUACAUAAAGCUUCUUAAAGAAUUGUCCUACAGCUUACAGAAAAGAGUAAAGAAUAACAGAACAUAAAAACUAAGUGUAAAGGCUUAUAAUUUUAUUCAGAUAUUGCUUUGUAUAAGCCUUUAGCUACAAAUUUCAGUUUUCAGAUUUCAGAUAUAAAAGUGAGUCCUUUCUAUACUUAAUCAGCUUGAUUUACAGACAGAACACUAGUACAACUUUUAGAAACUAAAUUUUAAGACUCACUAGAUUUAUGCAAUAUGUUUUUCUAUUCUUGAUUAUUAUUUAUAGUUUUCAGAUAUUCCAGCUUACGUGAGUCAUCUACAUUUAGCAUACAUUUUUUUAACAAAUUAUGAUAAUGUUGAGACAUUAUUUUACUUAUGUAUUCACCCCUAUUUACUCAAUACAUUCUCAAAGUACUGAUCCAUAUAUACGUCUAUGUGCUACAUUGUCUUAUAAUGUAGGCUCAGGUUCUCAGUUCCAACAGCAUGAGUGAUUUUGAGAAUCUCCAUCUAUAUCUUGAGAGUUGGUUAGUCUUGUUAGUUUGGGGACUUAGUCUUUU
rnacentral:lncRNA from 1 species